CCGAUUCCGGGGCAUCGGCAAAUUGUAUGGGAAACGGUUCAAAAAAAAAAAAAAAAUAAAACAAAAUAUGAUCAAAGGAGGCGUCAAGAUAAGUUCAAAGAAGAAAAAAACAAAGUGUCAAAAGGUUUAAAAUGUUGAGAAGAAAAAAGAUAAAUGAAAUCAAAACAGAAUCAACAUGAACAUCGGCUGAAAAACGACAAAAGUAGCAAAUGAUAUUUAUAAUAUUGUGAAAGAAGAAAAAUAAGUAAGAAAACGAACACAAAAUGAUGCAAAAAAAGUCUAAAAAUAAGUAUAAACUAAACUCAAUAGUUCAGACAGAAAGAAAACUAACAACUUGCAGUUUUUGUCCAAAAUUGAACACUUUCAAGUUCUUUUUAAGGAAAACCGUGUUCUAAUAUGUAAAAAAGUGCAACAGGAUACAGAUAAUGAGAAAACAACAACAAACUAUAACUAAAAAAGGGAACCUUUUAAAAAAGUGUUCAAAAAACAGAUUCACGAUAAUGCAAGACUGCUUUAUGAAAGUGAAAAAGUAAAAAUACAAACAAAUGACAACAAACACUUGGGAUAAGAAUCAAAGAAAA